rnacentral:rRNA from 1 species
GACGAACCGUACGAACGUUAUUCGGAAUUACUGGGCUUAAAGGGUGCGUAGGCUGCGCAGCAAGUUGGGUGUGAAAUCCCUCGGCUUAACCGAGGAACUGCGCCCAAAACUGCUGUGCUCGAGGGAGACAGAGGUGAGCGGAACUUAGGGUGGAGCGGUGAAAUGCGUUGAUAUCCUAAGGAACACCGGUGGCGAAGGCGGCUCACUGGCUCAUUUCUGACGCUCAGGCGCGACAGCGUGGGGAUCAAACAGG